CUCCUCUUCCUCUGCUUCCCCUUCUGCUCCCUCCUUCGUUACGUCUGCGGCCUUAUUUCAACAAAAAUCAUGUUAUUACUGAGAAGCAUUAGGGACCAAGACAACAAUGAAGAAGCAGGUCACCUGCGGCUUUUCUGACUGUGUGGGUUACACCGUCUCCCUUAUUUAUGAAGAACAGAGGGACAGUGGCUAGAGCUUCGACUCUGUCACCUAAAAAUGUUUGUAUCAAGCUGAUGACACACAACUGUUGAAGGUGAUGGACAUACCUCUUCUGCUGCGGUCUCUCCCUCUUCUUCCUUAGGUCCGUGAAUCAAAGUGAAGGAAAAAAUAUAAAUUCAAGCAGCCUCUCGGGGCCAGUAACAGAAAGAGCAAAAUCACAGAGGGCAACUUAUAGAGUAUCCAGGACACUGCCACAUUGGCUGGGCCAGCCUCACGUUUGGGGCCAGUUCCAGAACAGACCUCCAGAUCUCAGGGAGAGGCAGAGAACACUAGCGCCUGACACAGCGGCCAAAGCUGAGUCAGACAAGAGGAUGGCUCAGCACCGGGGAUCUCCACACCAGCCUCUAUGUUAAGCACCGUGGUGACAUGUCAAGUGUCUGUGCAAAAGUCACGGCCAGGAAUAGAGUCGAGCGUCUGUUGAGACACCCAGGCGCUGCCGUCAGGGCCUUUGUGGGUUGCAGCCCUUGAUGCCGCCUACUCCUGCUGGUGUCUCGUCCCUUCUGCCAAGCCUGCCAGCUUUGCUCACCUGGCUGCUGACAGGAGCCCCUGUGUGACCCUCAACCCUCGGCCGGUCAUCCUCUUAUCCAUCUGUUCUCCACACUGUGGCCACAGAGUUGGUCCAGACAACAAACCUCCUGUGGGGCCUCAUGUUUGGCAAUGUGCAUCACAAGAGGAUCCAGAUAGCUUAGAAGAAGUCCUCUGCUGCUGGCUCCCCCUCCAGCCUCCCCCUCCAGUCUCCCCCUCCACCUCGGCCCUCCACCUCACCACUCCCUGCUCUCCCUUUCAGCCAUACUUUCUCACAUGCCCCCCAACAGGACAGGACACUGCUCAAAAUGACCCUUGUAAGGCAGACUUUCCAGCCCGAGACUGAGUUAAGGUCCCUCUUACCAGCUCCCACAAACACCAUUUACUCAUCUGUCUCCUGGUGGUCUGCAAGCCCCUGGGUCAUGACCUGUGUCUGUUCAUUUUGGGACCUCCAGUGCCUGCCACUGUCUGGCACCAAGAGAAAGCCCCCUCAGUGUGAGUAAAGUGGCCCGGUUCCUCGGCCAUUAACUCUUGGCUCUCAAA